GCUUAAGACCCUACCACGUCGGAAACACCGAUUCUCGUUUGAUCAUCGAAGUUGAAAAGCAUCGGUCCCUUUAGUACUUGCAUGGGUGAUUAGCUGGGAAUACCGGGUGAUGCG
rnacentral:rRNA from 1 species